AACGAACGCUGGCGGCAGGCCUAACACAUGCAAGUCGAACGCCCCGCAAGGGGAGUGGCAGACGGGUGAGUAACACGUGGGAACCUUCCCUAUACUACGGAAUAGCCCAGGGAAACUUGGAGUAAUACCGUAUACGCCCGAGAGGGGAAAGAUUUAUCGGUAUAGGAUGGGCCCGCGUAGGAUUAGCUAGUUGGAGAGGUAAUGGCUCACCAAGACGACGAUCCUUAGCUGGUCUGAGAGGACGACCAGCCACACUGGGACUGAGACACGGCCCAGACUCCUACGGGAGGCAGCAGUGGGGAAUAUUGGACAAUGGGCGCAAGCCUGAUCCAGCCAUGCCGCGUGAGUGAUGAAGGCCUUAGGGUUGUAAAGCUCUUUUGCCGGGGACGAUAAUGACGGUACCCGGAGAAUAAGUCCCGGCUAACUUCGUGCCAGCCGCCGCAGUAACAC
rnacentral:rRNA from 1 species